GCCUGGUCCCAGUCUGAGCGCCGUCCCCAGCGUGGACGGGCCGCGCUUCCCCCAUUCCUGGCAUGGACGGGCCGCGCUUCCCCGCUUUCCAGGGUGGACGGGCCUUGCUUCCCCUCAUGCACCCCUGUCGGCUCCGCGGGGAGCGCCAAGCCGCACGGCGGGGAGCCGCUGCUGGGCGGCCGCUGCUGGGCUCAGCCUCUGCCUUCGGAGACUCCCGGGCCGUGCCGGCGCCGCCGGCCCUCGGGCGGGCUCUGGGAUUUAUCUCGCCGGCCCUUUGGUGGUGGAGCUCCCUCGGGCCGGGGCUGGCUGAGGGUCAGGGCAGAUGCCUGCAGAGGGGCCGAUGGAGCCGGUCUGCGCUGCAGGGCCGCCGGCCGUGCGGGGUGAAGCCGCGGGGCUGGAGCGUGCUCGGUGGCAGCGGAGAGGCCGCUCUGGGACCAGCAGCGCCGUUCGGUCGGCACCUUCUGCCCCCGUAGGCGGCUGGGGCUGUGUGUGGGCAGCCGGUAAGCUGCUGCAUGGGGCUGUCGCCUUCCUGGCUUUGGCCGUGUCCAGGGAGCGAUUGGACUGCGUUCAUCUGCCCGGGUUUGGUAGAUUUUUGAUGGGAUAAAGCAGGCGGCUUGUCCCUGAGAAAGCAGCGGUGCCGUGCGUGCUCAGGCUUGGUGCUGAUGGUGGAGACCGGAGCGGUUUUGCAGAGUUUGACCUUUUCUCCCGCGCACCUGGCAGGGGUGGCAGCGGGGUGGGAAAAUGGGAGCGAGAUCGGGCUGGUGCCUGCGCAGCGGGAUGGUUCAGUCGGUGCUGGAGCAAGGGCAGAACUGCCUGAUGUAGCCAGAGAAGGGCUGGGUUUGGAGCGUGUCCUGCAGCCUGGCCUGUGCCGCCAGCUGUGCUCGGGCUCCUGGGCAGAUGCCGAAUUCUUUCCAAGAACUUGGCGCAGAGCGUGGCGGUCUCCUAAAGCAACAGGGCCUAUCCUAUAAUUAUUUAAAUCAUCUGUUCAGAAGAAACACUAAUGGGAUUUGCAAAGACUCCUGACAUUUUGCUGAUGCUCCUGUUAGAAGACCUCUCACCGCAUUUUGGAAACACUAAUAAAAGCACCAGUAUUCAAACUGCAGGGUUUAAAUGCUCACAGUGAGUCAUAACCUGGGUUAACAUCAGGCAUUCUGCUGCAGAACAGAAUUAUGAUUUAUAAGUUUGUGGUUUGUUCUCAAAUGGUGUACAAGGAGGUGGACAUCCGAGAAUGGUACUGUCAGCAAAAGGGUUUUUAUUUGUUUUUUAAAAUGCUAGGGCUAAGUUAGCUGGGGAGAAAGAAAAGUCUCAUUUCAGCUUAUCAGAACAGGACAUGUCUUCAUGUUCAAGUCUGAUAUCUGUGUCAUUCUGAGUUGUGAUAGUGACUGAAAAUGAAGUUCCUUCUUGUGCCCUAACAAUUGAGCUCUAUUUAGCUGGGGUUUUUUUUUGUUUAUUGAAGUUUUUAAGUGGGAUAGCUUGAGCUCCACGUGUUUUGCAUGCCAGGUAAAUCAUCUCUGUGUACCAUCAUGGUAUCAUCUGGCAGCACCAACAUAUCCUCAGUUUUGAGAGCAUUAUGAGUUUUUAAAAUGUGCUUACAAUUCUGAGCUGCCUAAAUAGUGAACACUGAAAACACAUCUGUGAAAUGUUCCUGGUUAUUUUGGAAAUGUGCUUGUUUUAAAAAGUUGUGCAACAAACAGCAGAAAUAUAAAAAUGCUGUGGGGGUUUUACAGGGAAACUGACAUUUUGAAAUCUGAACUGUACCUAACUUCCUGUUUUGGGUCUGACCUGGAGAUCUAUAAGCAAGUUUGUUUCUGAACUGGAUUAAGUUAUAUCCAUAGAUCAAUGAAAUAAUAUCCAUGGAUUUUUGGCACAUUCCUAAGAGUGUUUUCAUUAGCCUUAAAAUACAAUGUUCCAUUCCAUAAAUGAGAUCAGUGAAGAAUAUUUACAAAGUGACCUGUGUCAGUUUAACUGAUGGGGAUAAACAUGACCUAAGGCUUGAUUUAAACCAUGUAAAGAGCUUUGGCAGAGAGGGGUCGUGGUAAUCAUCCAAGGAGAAAUGUCUGAGCCCCACAUUUAAGAAAUAGAAUGGAAGGUCAUGUUCAGGCUUGAAUGUGGACCUUUAAAAGAGGCACUCUUGAGACUUCAUUUAUUCUUAAUGACACUGAUGUCACUGUGUGCCUCUUUGCACUGAGCUUUGUGAGUUGUGACACUGUCUUGAAACAAGGACAAGUAGUAUGGCCUCUGUAAUAGAGGAGCAGAUUUGUUCUUUGGGACAAGCAAGCUGCUUGCAACUGUUCUGGCAUAUGAAAAUGUGUUAGAUCCCAGUUUCUGAUUUGCAGAUGGUAGUGAUUGAGUCUUUCAGUAUUACAGAGGAAGCAUAACUUUGUAUGUAUCUAUUUCCAUGCAGAACUAAGAAAUACUGCCUCUAAUGGGAACACCUCUGGCCUCUUUUCAUCCAGGAAUUAGGAGUGCUAAAAUCUUUGAUGGACCUUAGAAAAAGAUUGGGCAAGCUCAAGAAAAAAUCAAUCUGCCAAAUAUAAAGAUGCCAUUAUGGUAUCAAGUCCUGAGCCAUAGAAGGCCAGGUGUCAGAGCCUAUGCCACAGCAUGUGCUGCAGUGGAGAGGGCCAGGAUAUACAGAGUAUCAUCAUACAAUUUCAGGAAGCUUCAACCCCAUACAGAGUAACCCCCAUACCACUGUAGAAGGCUUCAAGCAUGUACCCAUGCAGAGUAGUAACACAAUAUCACUUCAGAGGGCUGCAAGUGUCUGCUCAUCUUGUUCUUUAGCCCAGCCUUUUAUUCCCUCAUGUUGAUGCACUGCACCUGUGUGCCUCUGUUCCCUUUGUGGUUGCUCAGUGCCCCUGGGCCCUCCAGGGCUCAUUGCUGUCAGUGCUGCUCACCUGCUGCUCACAGCUGUGCCCACUGGGGAUGGGCUGGGGCUGCCCCACUCCCAAUCACCACAAACUGUUCCUACAGCUGGGGAGUGGGACUGAACUAUGUGCAUGUCCUGUUCUUUGUUUCCUGUGUGCUCACUUGUAUCCAGUGUCACAGAAACAGAGUCUUGGUGUCUGGUAUGGUAAUUUGUACAACUAUAUUUUAUUUGAAGUGCUGGAAGUGUCUUGGCUUUUAGUAAGGCUGGGAAAACCCCAUGGCACUCAUUGCUUGUAAGAAUGCUUCUUGUGCCCCAGUUAAGGUUUGCCAGCAGGCUCUGUCACAGCAGUGGUGACAGGGACGCUUUCAUUGGCUCAGUUUAUUUUAAAAACGUGCAGGUGCCGUGAGGCACAAGAGCAUCUGCAAUUAUCGUGCAUGUCGUGACCACGAGGGGGCCCUGGCAGCUCCGGUCAGAAUUACACACUGACCACAGGAGCAGGGCUGAUUGCUUGGUGCCUCAGUGGUUACAUCCCUUCUUGUUCAGCACUUCUGAAUUACCUUACCUCUUAAUAUGUGUAUAUAUAUAUAUAUAUUUUAGUUACAGUAUUUUGCUAAGUAAUUUUGAGAAAUGCAUCAUUACAAAAAAUCUAAACUGGCUAUUUGAUCUCCUCUGUGGCAGAAGACAGUACCAAGCAUGUCAUCACACAUGAGUUUUCAUCUGUAUGGACAAUUUCCCCAAGUAGAAGUUCAGGAGUUUUGCACACAUCGCUGUAUUUGUAAAGUAGAAAGAAUUGGUAUGAAGAAUCUUAAAUAUAAGGUUUUUUGUAUAUCUUAAGAGGUUUUAAGCUUGGUACUACAAUAUUUCAAUAAAGAUUUUAUUUCUUUGCA